rnacentral:rRNA from 1 species
CGGCAGCACGGGCUUCGGCCUGGUGGCGAGUGGCGAACGGGUGAGUAAUAUAUCGGAACGUACCCAAGAGUGGGGGAUAACGUAGCGAAAGUUACGCUAAUACCGCAUACGAUCUAAGGAUGAAAGCAGGGGACCGCAAGGCCUUGUGCUCCUGGAGCGGCCGAUAUCUGAUUAGCUAGUUGGUGAGGUAAAGGCUCACCAAGGCGACGAUCAGUAGCUGGUCUGAGAGGACGACCAGCCACACUGGAACUGAGACACGGUCCAGACUCCUACGGGAGGCAGCAGUGGGGAAUUUUGGACAAUGGGCGCAAGCCUGAUCCAGCAAUGCCGCGUGAGUGAAGAAGGCCUUCGGGUUGUAAAGCUCUUUUGUCAGGGAAGAAACGGUAGAGGCUAAUAUCCUCUGCUAAUGACGGUACCUGAAGAAUAAGCACCGGCUAACUACGUGCCAGCAGCCGCGGUAAUACGUAGGGUGCAAGCGUUAAUCGGAAUUACUGGGCGUAAAGCGUGCGCAGGCGGUUUUGUAAGUCUGUCGUGAAAGCCCCGGGCUCAACCUGGGAAUUGCGAUGGAGACUGCAAGGCUUGAAUCUGGCAGAGGGGGGUAGAAUUCCACGUGUAGCAGUGAAAUGCGUAGAGAUGUGGAGGAACACCGAUGGCGAAGGCAGCCCCCUGGGUCAAGAUUGACGCUCAUGCACGAAAGCGUGGGGAGCAAACAGGAUUAGAUACCCUGGUAGUCCACGCCCUAAACGAUGUCUACUAGUUGUCGGGUUUUAAUUAACUUGGUAACGCAGCUAACGCGUGAAGUAGACCGCCUGGGGAGUACGGUCGC